GGGCCCGCACAAGCGGUGGAGCAUGUGGUUCAAUUCGACGCAACGCGAAGAACCUUACCCAGGCUUGAACAGCGAGUGACCACUCCUGAAAAGGAGCUUCCGCAAGGACACUCGUAGAGGUGCUGCAUGGCUGUCGUCAGCUCGUGUCGUGAGAUGUUGGGUUAAGUCCCGCAACGAGCGCAACCCUUGUUUGCUGUUGCCAUCAGGUAAUGCUGGGCACUCUGCAAAGACUGCCGGUGAUAAACCGGAGGAAGGUGGGGAUGACGUCAAGUCAGCAUGGCCUUUAUGUCUGGGGCUACACACGUGCUACAAUGGCCGGUACAAACCGUCGCAAAACCGUAAGGUCGCGCUAAUCGGAGAAAGCCGGUCUCAGUUCGGAUUGUAGGCUGCAACUCGCCUGCAUGAAGUUGGAAUCGCUAGUAAUCGCGGAUCAGCACGCCGCGGUGAAUACGUUCCCGGGCCUU
rnacentral:rRNA from 1 species